GGCGUGAGGAAUGAAGCCUGGUCCGAGAUAUAUAUCAUCAUCACUCCAUGCAUGGAAUCAAUGAAUAAAUCUUGGAACAGUCUUCAUUCCAAACGCC
rnacentral:miRNA from 1 species